AGGUCGGCAGUGUGUCCUGGAUGCUGUCAAUCAUUUCCUUGAUUGGCGGGGAAUGCAGCUCCCAGCUCAAUGGCAGCUUAAACCAAGUACCAGACGCUGGGUCGAACAUGCAGUGCACAUUACGAUGCUCCUCAAAAAAGGUGGUCCAGGAAACCCAAGCGGUCAUCAUUCAUAUCAUUUGUGGAGCUGUUCCCAGUCUCAUCGAGUCUUACAUCACUUGUGGAAACAUUCUGAGAUUGGGGAUUGUUCCUGUCAUUGCUCUGGAUAAAUCCACAGGAUAACCACUCAUCUGGGAAGGGCUGCCAUUCAUCUAAGGGGAGACAAUCACAAAUUAAGUGCAGUUCACGUACAAUUUGUUAAAUUGACAAAAAAAGCAAUCACAAUAUCACAAUACUGUAUACUAUGAGAAACCAGAGUUGUAGCUAGUGGGAGGCUGGUUGGGGGUUGUGGGAGGUACACUUAAUAGCAAUUGAAUUUUUCCAUUUAUCUGUUGAUGAUAAUCAUUUGUUGAACAUGUAUAUUAGUGACAACAAUAUCAGAGAUUGUUCACACAGUUUACAAUCAGGAUCAUAAACUAAUGAAUAAAAUGAAUAUCUAAUGUAGGUUAAAAGAUGAAUUAUGAAUUAGUUACACUAAUGCAGUAUAGCAAUCUUUUAACAGAAAUGGUCAAAGCCAGGGGCUCAUAAGUAGUGGGAAUCGGCUUCCCCACAUUCUGGUGUUAUAUAAGUGUCACGGUACUUGUUAUUCACGAAUCGCCAUCUCCCACAGCUGGCCCCAGCCCCCCUUUACCAUCAGUACCUAUUGCCCAUGAAUCACAGAUGUCCCAUAACCCCACCACCUCCCUUUACAAUUAGUAAUUGUUAUCCAUGAAUCACUAAUUCAUAGAUCUAAUGUGUGCACGAUUACCCAAUCAGGAAGCAGCAAAUAGAAGCCAGGGAAGUUGAAACCAAAUGCCUCACAAAUUGUAUAACAUAUCAGAUGCGGACAGUGAAUCCUGCUUGUUUAUCUAAGACGUUUACAGAGGUUUUCCUGCUACUUGGGAAAUAUAACACGGUCACCUAACAUGAUGGAAACUUGUCUUGUUGUCCAAGCUUGGUCUAAAUCUUAUUGAGAAGCAUAGAAAUAAAUAACUUUGAGUUUCAUUGUUGAAUAGACAAGGCAGAAUCCAGAUCAAAUAUAAAAACUUUGGAAUAAUAAGAUAAAGCGGUGCUCUCUUUGGUAUGUACUAUGUGUUUAUGUGUUUUCAAAGCUGCUUUUUUGUCAACUUGCAGAGAUUUAAGUGCAGGAAAAAUAGAAGAGAAAGCAGAAUUUGCUGUUUACGCCUGACUUCUAACCACCUUUUUCGGCAAACCUCAAGAUUCACA